rnacentral:rRNA from 1 species
GAGUUUGAUCCUGGCUCAGAACGAACGCUGGCGGCGUGCUUAACACAUGCAAGUCGAACGCGAACGAGUUCUUCGGAACUUUAGUAGAGUGGCGCACGGAUGAGUAACGCGUAAGUAAUCUACCCUCGCAUUUGGGAUAACCCACCGAAAGGUGUGCUAAUACCGGAUACGUCUAAGAUAAUAUCUUUUUUUUAGAGAAAGGUGGCCUCUGAUUCAAGCUACUGUGCGGGGAGGAGCUUGCGUACCAUUAGCUAGUUGGUAGGGUAAUGGCCUACCAAGGCAACGAUGGUUAGCGGGUCUGAGAGGAUGAUCCGCCACACUGGAACUGAAACACGGACCAGACUCCUACGGGAGGCAGCAGUGAGGAAUAUUGCGCAAUGGGGGCAACCCUGACGCAGCGACGCCGCGUGGAUGAUGAAGGCCUUCGGGUUGUAAAAUCCUGUCAGAUGGGAAGAAGUGCUAUAUGGUUAAUAUCUGUAUAGUUUGACGGUACCAUCAAAGGAAGCACCGGCUAACUCCGUGCCAGCAGCCGCGGUAAUACGGAGGGUGCAAGCGUUGUUCGGAAUUACUGGGCGUAAAGCGCGCGUAGGCGGUCUGUUAUGUCAGGUGUGAAAGUCCAUGGCUCAACCAUGGAAGUGCAUUUGAAACUGACAGACUUGAGUACUGGAGGGGGUGGUGGAAUUCCCGGUGUAGAGGUGAAAUUCGUAGAUAUCGGGAGGAAUACCGGUGGCGAAGGCGACCACCUGGCCAGAUACUGACGCUGAGGUGCGAAAG